GGCGGCGUGCCUAAGCUUAUGCAAGUCGAACGCGAACGGCUCCUUCGGGAGCCUAGUAGAGUGGCAAACGGGUGAGUAACGCGUGGGUAACGUACCCUGAUCCUGGGAAUAACCCUCGGAAACGAGGGCUAAUACCGAAUGUGGCGAACGACCGGUUGGUCGCUCGCUAAAGGUGGCCUCUUCUAUGCUGCCGGGUUGGGAUCGGCCCGCGUCCCAUUAGCUAGUUGGUGAGGUAACGGCUCACCAAGGCCACGAUGGGUAGCCGGCCUGAGAGGGUGUACGGCCACACUGGCACUGAGACAAGGGCCAGUCCCCUAUGGGAGGCGCAGGCGGGAAUAGUUCACAAUGGGCGAAAGCCUGAUGACGCGACGCCGCGUGAGCGAAGAAGACCUUCGGGUUGUAAAGCUCUGUCAGGAGGGUAGAAGGCUCUACGGGUCAAUAGCCCGUGGGAUUGACGGUACCUCCAGAGGAAGCCCCGGCUAAAUACGUGCCAGCAGCCGCGGUAAUACGUAUGGGGCAAGCGUUGUCCGGAUUUACUGGGCGUAAAGGGCGCGUAGGCGGUUUGUUAAGUCGAAGGUGAAAUCCUCGGGCUCAACUCGAGAAUUGCCUUCGAUACUGGCAAACUAGAGUGGCGGAGAGGAAAGCGGAACUCUUGGUGUAACGGUGGAAUGUGUAGAUAUCAAGAGGAACACCGGUGGCGAAGGCGGCUUUCUGGACGCACACUGACGCUCAGGCGCGAAAGCGUGGGUAGCAAACAGGAAUUAGAUACCCUGGUAGUCCACGCCAUAAACGAUGGGUACUAGGUGUCGGGGGUAUCGACCCCUCCGGUGCCGCAGUUAACGCACUAAGUACCCCGCCUGGGGAUUAUGGUC
rnacentral:rRNA from 1 species